rnacentral:rRNA from 1 species
AACGCUGGCGGCAUGCUUUACACAUGCAAGUCGAACGGCAGCAUAGAGAGCUUGCUCUCUGAUGGCGAGUGGCGCACGGGUGAGUAAUACAUCGGAACGUGUCCUGUUGUGGGGGAUAACUACUCGAAAGAGUAGCUAAUACCGCAUAAGACCUAAGGGUGAAAGCGGGGGACCUUCGGGCCUCGCGCAGUUGGAGCGGCCGAUGACUGAUUAGCUAGUUGGUGGGGUAAAGGCCUACCAAGGCGACGAUCAGUAGCUGGUCUGAGAGGACGACCAGCCACAUUGGGACUGAGACACGGCCCAAACUCCUACGGGAGGCAGCAGUGGGGAAUUUUGGACAAUGGGGGCAACCCUGAUCCAGCCAUGCCGCGUGCGGGAAGAAGGCCUUCGGGUUGUAAACCGCUUUUGUUAGGAACGAAAAGGUAUCUGUGAACAACAGGUAUUGCUGACGGUACCUAAAGAAUAAGCACCGGCUAACUACGUGCCAGCAGCCGCGGUAAUACGUAGGGUGCGAGCGUUAAUCGGAAUUACUGGGCGUAAAGCGUGCGCAGGCGGUUGGGUAAGACAGGUGUGAAAUCCCCGAGCUUAACUUGGGAACUGCACUUGUGACUGCUCAACUAGAGUAUGUCAGAGGGAGGUGGAAUUCCAAGUGUAGCAGUGAAAUGCGUAGAUAUUUGGAAGAACACCGAUGGCGAAGGCAGCCUCCUGGGAUAAUACUGACGCUCAUGCACGAAAGCGUGGGGAGCAAACAGGAUUAGAUACCCUGGUAGUCCACGCCCUAAACGAUGUCAACUAGUUGUUGGGCCGCAUGGCUUAGUAACACAGCUAACGCGAGAAGUUGACCGCCUGGGGAGUACGGUCGCAAGAUUAAAACUCAAAGGAA